CGGUUAAGUUAGAAAGGGCGCACGGUGGAUGCCUUGGCACUAGGAGCCGAUGAAGGACGGGACGAACACCGAUAUGCUUCGGGGAGCUGUAAGCAAGCUUUGAUCCGGAGAUUUCCGAAUGGGGAAACCCACCACUCGUAAUGGAGUGGUAUCCAUAUCUGAAUACAUAGGAUAUGAGAAGGCAGACCCGGGGAACUGAAACAUCUAAGUACCCGGAGGAAGAGAAAGCAAAUGCGAUUCCCUGAGUAGCGGCGAGCGAAACGGGACCAGCCCAAACCAAGAGGCUUGCCUCUUGGGGUUGUAGGACACUCUGUACGGAGUUACAAAGGAACGAGGUAGAUGAAGAGGUCUGGAAAGGCCCGCCAUAGAAGGUAACAGCCCUGUAGUCAAAACUUCGUUCUCUCCUGAGUGGAUCCUGAGUACGGCGGAACACGUGAAAUUCCGUCGGAAUCCGGGAGGACCAUCUCCCAAGGCUAAAUACUCCCUAGUGACCGAUAGUGAACCAGUACCGUGAGGGAAAGGUGAAAAGCACCCCGGAAGGGGAGUGAAAGAGAUCCUGAAACCGUGUGCCUACAAGUAGUCAGAGCCCGUUAACGGGUGAUGGCGUGCCUUUUGUAGAAUGAACCGGCGAGUUACGAUCCCGUGCAAGGUUAAGCAGAAGAUGCGGAGCCGCAGCGAAAGCGAGUCUGAAUAGGGCGAAUUGAGUACGUGGUCGUAGACCCGAAACCAGGUGAUCUACCCAUGUCCAGGGUGAAGUUCAGGUAACACUGAAUGGAGGCCCGAACCCACGCACGUUGAAAAGUGCGGGGAUGAGGUGUGGGUAGGGGUGAAAUGCCAAUCGAACCUGGAGAUAGCUGGUUCUCUCCGAAAUAGCUUUAGGGCUAGCCUCAAGGUAAGAGUCUCGGAGGUAGAGCACUGAUUGGACUAGGGGCCCCUACCGGGUUACCGAAUUCAGUCAAACUCCGAAUGCCGAUGACUUAUCCUUGGGAGUCAGACUGCGAGUGAUAAGAUCCGUAGUCGAAAGGGAAACAGCCCAGACCGCCAGCUAAGGUCCCAAAGUAUACGUUAAGUGGAAAAGGAUGUGGAGUUGCUUAGACAACCAGGAUGUUGGCUUAGAAGCAGCCACCAUUUAAAGAGUGCGUAAUAGCUCACUGGUCGAGUGACUCUGCGCCGAAAAUGUACCGGGGCUAAACGUAUCACCGAAGCUGCGGACUGUUCUUCGAACAGUGGUAGGAGAGCGUUCUAAGGGCUGUGAAGCAAGACCGGAAGGACUUGUGGAGCGCUUAGAAGUGAGAAUGCCGGUAUGAGUAGCGAAAGAGGGGUGAGAAUCCCCUCCACCGAAUGCCUAAGGUUUCCUGAGGAAGGCUCGUCCGCUCAGGGUUAGUCGGGACCUAAGCCGAGGCCGAAAGGCGUAGGCGAUGGACAACAGGUUGAUAUUCCUGUACCACCUCCUCACCAUUUGAGCAAUGGGGGACGCAGGAGGAUAGGGUAAGCGCGGUAUUGGAUAUCCGCGUCCAAGCAGUUAGGCUGGGAAAUAGGCAAAUCCGUUUCCCGUGAAGGCUGAGCUGUGAUGGCGAGCGAAUUAUAGUAGCGAAGUUCCUGAUUCCACACUGCCAAGAAAAGCCUCUAGCGAGGUGAGAGGUGCCCGUACCGCAAACCGACACAGGUAGGCGAGGAGAGAAUCCUAAGGUGAUCGAGAGAACUCUCGUUAAGGAACUCGGCAAAAUGACCCCGUAACUUCGGGAGAAGGGGUGCUCUGUUAGGGUGCAAGCCCGAGAGAGCCGCAGUGAAUAGGCCCAGGCGACUGUUUAGCAAAAACACAGGUCUCUGCGAAGCCGUAAGGCGAAGUAUAGGGGCUGACGCCUGCCCGGUGCUGGAAGGUUAAGAGGAGCGCUUAGCGUAAGCGAAGGUGCGAAUUGAAGCCCCAGUAAACGGCGGCCGUAACUAUAACGGUCCUAAGGUAGCGAAAUUCCUUGUCGGGUAAGUUCCGACCCGCACGAAAGGCGCAACGAUCUGGGCACUGUCUCAACGAGAGACUCGGUGAAAUUAUAGUACCUGUGAAGAUGCAGGUUACCCGCGACAGGACGGAAAGACCCCGUGGAGCUUUACUGCAGCCUGAUAUUGAAUGUUGGUACAGCUUGUACAGGAUAGGUAGGAGCCUUGGAAACCGGAGCGCCAGCUUCGGUGGAGGCAUCGGUGGGAUACUACCCUGGCUGUAUUGACCUUCUAACCCGCCGCCCUUAUCGGGCGGGGAGACAGUGUCAGGUGGGCAGUUUGACUGGGGCGGUCGCCUCCUAAAAGGUAACGGAGGCGCCCAAAGGUUCCCUCAGAAUGGUUGGAAAUCAUUCGCAGAGUGUAAAGGCACAAGGGAGCUUGACUGCGAGACCUACAAGUCGAGCAGGGACGAAAGUCGGGCUUAGUGAUCCGGUGGUUCCGCAUGGAAGGGCCAUCGCUCAACGGAUAAAAGCUACCCCGGGGAUAACAGGCUUAUCUCCCCAAGAGUCCACAUCGACGGGGAGGUUUGGCACCUCGAUGUCGGCUCAUCGCAUCCUGGGGCUGUAGUCGGUCCCAAGGGUUGGGCUGUUCGCCCAUUAAAGCGGUACGCGAGCUGGGUUCAGAACGUCGUGAGACAGUUCGGUCCCUAUCCGUCGCGGGCGCAGGAAAUUUGAGAGGAGCUGUCCUUAGUACGAGAGGACCGGGAUGGACGCACCGCUGGUGUACCAGUUGUUCUGCCAAGGGCAUCGCUGGGUAGCUAUGUGCGGACGGGAUAAGUGCUGAAAGCAUCUAAGCAUGAAGCCCCCCUCAAGAUGAGAUUUCCCAUUCCGCAAGGAAGUAAGAUCCCUGAAAGAUGAUCAGGUUGAUAGGUCUGAGGUGGAAGUGUGGCGACACAUGGAGCUGACAGAUACUAAUCGAUCGAGGACUUAACCAAUUU
rnacentral:rRNA from 1 species